UACGGGGGGGGCUAGCGUUGUUCGGAAUUACUGGGCGUAAAGCGCACGUAGGCGGCUUUGUAAGUCAGAGGUGAAAGCCCGGGGCUCAACUCCGGAAUUGCCUUUGAGACUGCAUCGCUAGAAUUGUGGAGAGGUGAGUGGAAUUCCGGGUGUAGAGGUGAAAUUCGUAGAUAUUCGGAGGAACACCAGUGGCGAAGGCGGCUCACUGGACACAUAUUGACGCUGAGGUGCGAAAGCGUGGGGAGCAAACAGG
rnacentral:rRNA from 1 species